rnacentral:lncRNA from 1 species
AUGAAAAUCCUGGAGAACAGAGUGGAAGAAACGCGUAUUCCACAUUUCCUGUUGAUUUUCUUUCCUCCCUAAACACUGACCUCCCGCAGUCUUCACUAGCAGGUGAGGUCACCUGUAGAGGUCAUGCUGCGGAGUCCCGAGUCCCUGAUUAUAUUCAAGACGUGGAGCUCUCUUUUUCCCGUCCUGCUUUCUUUCCAGAAGUGCCUCAGAUGCAUCCUCCCCUUCUCUUUUCUCCACAUGAAGACGUCACUGACCAUCUUCUCUGGUUUGCUUUCCAACACCGAGCACCAAGUGCUUCAAAGGUCAUGGUGCCCUGGGGCCGAGAGCUACUUAUGUGGGCAUUUAUAACCAAAUAAAUAUUGAAAUGGCCCACAAAGCAAAUGUUAGUGGUAACCAACAGCGGUAAAACUGGGUACAUGGGACCCUGAACCUUCUUGAAUAUUCCCCAUGAGACCCUGGGCCGACCUUCGGGCUUUCCAGUGUGCUCAGAAAAUCCUCCGUGGCUCCCAGCCCCAGCUUAGUCUUUCAACGGUCCUCGGACUGAAGCAAGAGACAGGGAAGGAAUUGUCCAAGGUUUUCCAGCAUGCUGAGAACACUUACCAUGGUGGAGCCUGGCACGUACUGGCUCUUUGAUGCAUGUGUAUUGGUCUCAAGUAGCCAGAAGCAUCUCCUCUGAGAGCCCUUGCCCUCCAGUUUAAAUGGCAAAUGGAAGGGAAUGGGUUCUGGAAGGCCCCAGGUGGGCUGGGGUGGGUUCUGGAGACCAUCUUCCAACUCCUGUUCAGGAGGAGGGUUGGUCAGAUCAGCUCUGUGGCCACCUGGGCUCUGGAGGGGCGAGAUACGGGCAGGUGCGGCCACAGGAGGGAGAGCACCAUGUGCGGGGGAAGCCCACAGCUGGAACCAAAAGGCCCCAGGAGGGAUCCUGGCUCUGACAUCUCCCAGCCGUGUGGCCUUGGGCAAGGUCCCUGACUUGGACCUCAGCCUCCUCAUCUGUAAAACAGGCAGAACAGUAAUACCGACCUUGUAGGUUGUAUAGAGUUCAUAUACAUCAAGCACUUACCACAGUGCCUGGCGGACCGCAUGCCCUAAACACACAAUCCGUGAAAUGAAUCCAUCAGCAAGCAGCUGCUAGGGGCAGUGUGGGGCAGAGAGGCAGCUGCCUGCUGGAACUGGCUGACAGGAGGAUGAGUGUGUGGCAGGAGGAACGCUCUGCACAGAGGACACUAGGUAGCGUCACCUGUCUCUUACCCUGUGUCUCCACUGGAAUGGAAUGUCAGACUCGCACCAUGCAUUCCUUUCCCUGCCAAAACGCCUCCUCUUAGCAGUGAGCAAGAAAGUUGUUCGAGUGGAUGAAGCCAAAAGCCCAUUUGGCAAGAGUGCUGUUUUGGAAAAUGCUUAGCGGUGUGGGUUGGGAUGAGGUUUUCUGUGCCUUUCCAUUAUUUCUUCAGCUUCAUGUAACCCUGACUGAGCAAUGCUCAGCAGAGUGAAGGCUGGGCAGCAGAUGGACAAGAUUUUCUCAAACUCCUUUUUAAGCCAAUUUCAAAAUAGAGAGAGGGAAAAAUCCUUGUUUUCUCUUUUCGGUUUUGAGAGGUUUCAUAUGCAGACACAAUUUUAAAUUUUAUUUUUUUUGCCCCCAAUGAGAUGUUUGGAGAUGGUGGUACUAGAACAGGAAGGAAUUUAUAAGUAUUGGGGAAUUUUUCAUCCCAAUUCCCAUAUCCUCCUAUAAUUCAAGGAGUGAAUGGGUAGUGUUUUUGUUUUUGUGAGAGGGGUGGCGGAGGGUAGAGAGAGAAAGAGAGAGAGACAGAGAGAGAUUACAUAGAGGUGUCCAAAAUGAACACAGUAAAAACCAGUUUUGAUUAAUUCUGCAAUAUUAAGUAGGCAGCCAAAAAUUUUGGUCUGCUUAAUUCUUAGCUCAUCUAAGUCUCCAGUUGACUGAUUGAUUGAUUGAAUGACUUAUUCAACAUGCGCUAGCCAGACACUGGUCUAGGGCCCAGGAAUUCAGCAAUAAAUGAAACAAGACC